rnacentral:misc_RNA from 1 species
UCAGAGCUAGCUGACGAACUAAUGGUAAAUAUGUCUACUUUGUUCAGAUUUUCAUGAAUUACUAAACUGUAAGGACAUUUUAAGUUUAUAUUUGUUUGCUAACAUCAUGGAGUUAACUAAAGUGGUAAGGAUAAGUAGGUGCCUGAGAUCUUAACAAUUCAAAUUUGAGGAUGGAAAAUAAUUCAUUGUCAUCAUUAGAGUUGUGGUGUUGUAUGCCUAAUUUCAUGAACAUGUCUGCUCAUGAUCUAAUUUCCUACUCCCAAGAAGAUGCACAUGAUGGUUUUAAAUUGCAAUCACGGCUUUAACGGCCAUAACGUAGCAAUAACAGCCUGUCAUUGC